rnacentral:lncRNA from 1 species
GAAAGAAAAACCUGUUAGUCCUGCGAUUCUUCUUCUUGUGAAAAUGUUCAGGUUUGAUGCAGCAAGGUAGCUGAAACUGCGAGAUGGUAGGUUUCUUACCCCGUCGAGGGUGGCGAAGAGCUUGCCGGUGAGGUCCUUGAGGUCCUUCUUUUCCUCCUUGGUGGUCUUGGAGGAGAUGACGGUCUUGAGGUCGUAGCGCAGGUAGGAGGCCCUCAGGCGGAGGUCGUUCAUGACGUACGGCCAUUGCUUCUUGUCGAUGAGCGGCUUGAGGUUGAGGAUGUCCUGGGCCGACUCCUUGGCCCGGACCGCCGCCUCCGCCGGUGGCAGCGGCUGCAG